rnacentral:piRNA from 2 species
UGUACACCUCUGUUGACUGGUUUAG